AACAAACAAAGAAUAAAAAUGAGCGUUCGAACACACAAAUACGCUCAAAUAAGACACGUUGAGUUAUAUAAACUAACAAAAUACGCAGUAUCGAGCUGGUUUGACCAGAAUAAAAUCAUAUAUGGAUGGAAUUAUAUUGCAUACCUGUAACAACAAUUAACACUUUAUUGGUAAUCAAACGUGUUUAAAUCGCAUGAACACUUAACACUGUAUAAUCAUAAAGGGCUAAAAUGUAAAUAAAC
rnacentral:misc_RNA from 1 species